rnacentral:rRNA from 1 species
UGCAAGUCGAGCGGGGAAAGGUAGCUUGCUACCUGACCUAGCGGCGGACGGGUGAGUAAUGCUUAGGAAUCUGCCUAUUAGUGGGGGACAACAUUCCGAAAGGAAUGCUAAUACCGCAUACGCCCUACGGGGGAAAGCAGGGGAUCUUCGGACCUUGCGCUAAUAGAUGAGCCUAAGUCAGAUUAGCUAGUUGGUGGGGUAAAGGCCUACCAAGGCGACGAUCUGUAGCGGGUCUGAGAGGAUGAUCCGCCACACUGGGACUGAGACACGGCCCAGACUCCUACGGGAGGCAGCAGUGGGGAAUAUUGGACAAUGGGCGAAAGCCUGAUCCAGCCAUGCCGCGUGUGUGAAGAAGGCCUUUUGGUUGUAAAGCACUUUAAGCGAGGAGGAGGCUACUUAGAUUAAUACUCUAGGAUAGUGGACGUUACUCGCAGAAUAAGCACCGGCUAACUCUGUGCCAGCAGCCGCGGUAAUACAGAGGGUGCGAGCGUUAAUCGGAUUUACUGGGCGUAAAGCGUGCGUAGGCGGCUUUUUAAGACAGACGUGAAAUCCCCGGGCUCAACCUGGGAACUGCAUUUGUGACUGCAUGGCUAGAGUACGGUAGAGGGGGAUGGAAUUCCGCGUGUAGCAGUGAAAUGCGUAGAUAUGCGGAGGAACACCGAUGGCGAA